rnacentral:rRNA from 1 species
AUUGAACGCUGGCGGCAUGCUUUACACAUGCAAGUCGAACGGCAGCGCGGGCUUCGGCCUGGCGGCGAGUGGCGAACGGGUGAGUAAUACAUCGGAACGUGCCCAGUAGUGGGGGAUAGCUCGGCGAAAGCCGGAUUAAUACCGCAUACGACCUGAGGGUGAAAGCGGGGGAUCUUCGGACCUCGCGCUAUUUGAGCGGCCGAUGGCAGAUUAGCUAGUUGGUGGGGUAAAGGCCUACCAAGGCGACGAUCUGUAGCUGGUCUGAGAGGCCGACCAGCCACACUGGGACUGAGACACGGCCCAGACUCCUACGGGAGGCAGCAGUGGGGAAUUUUGGACAAUGGGCGAAAGCCUGAUCCAGCAAUGCCGCGUGUGUGAUGAAGGCCUUCGGGUUGUAAAGCACUUUUGGCGGGAACGAAAAGGACUGUGCCAAUACCACGGUUCGAUGACGGUACCCGCAGAAUAAGCACCGGCUAACUACGUG